AGUGAACGCUGGCGGUAGGCCUAACACAUGCAAGUCGAACGGCAGCACAGUAAGAGCUUGCUCUUACGGGUGGCGAGUGGCGGACGGGUGAGGAAUACAUCGGAAUCUACUUUUUCGUGGGGGAUAACGUAGGGAAACUUACGCUAAUACCGCAUACGACCUACGGGUGAAAGCAGGGGAUCUUCGGACCUUGCGCGAUUGAAUGAGCCGAUGUCGGACUAGCUAGUUGGCGGGGUAAAGGCCCACCAAGGCGACGAUCCGUAGCUGGUCUGAGAGGAUGAUCAGCCACACUGGAACUGAGACACGGUCCAGACUCCUACGGGAGGCAGCAGUGGGGAAUAUUGGACAAUGGGCGCAAGCCUGAUCCAGCCAUACCGCGUGGGUGAAGAAGGCCUUCGGGUUGUAAAGCCCUUUUGUUGGGAAAGAAAAGCAGCAGGUUAAUACCCCGCUGUUCUGACGGUACCCAAGGAAUAAGCACCGGCUAACUUCGU
rnacentral:rRNA from 1 species